AUACCUUCUCGGCCUUUUGGCUAAGAUCAAGUGUAGUAUGUGUUCCGAUUUGGUGCAUUUUGAUUGACCGUUC
rnacentral:snRNA from 1 species